rnacentral:tRNA from 1 species
GGUGCUGUAGCUCAGUGGUAGAGCACUUGCCUAGCAGAGGAGGCACUGGGUUUGAUUCUCAGCACCA